UGUGCACCACAGAGCUUGGCAGAGCUGCAAAGUUGGCACCAGAAUUUGCCAAGAGGAAUGUUAAGUUGAUUGCCCUUUCAAUAGACAGUGUCGAGGACCAUCUUGCCUGGAGCAAGGAUAUCAAUGCUUACAAUGGUGAAGAGCCCACAGAAAAAUUACCUUUU